AGAAGAGAGAACGUUGGAUGGAGAGACAGAAAACCAUAAGAGACAAAGACAGUGAGUGAGCCUUGACAGUGGGAGUUGACAUUAAUUCAUGGUGUCAUUGAAACCUCAAUGAAAAGGGAUCAUUCAGGGGCUGCAUCCUUUCGGAGACGCAUUUGAAGAACAAUUGCGUCACAACUGUGCGACUAGGAUGUUCUUAUCACAGCAAUGGUAGCGAGACAGUGAGUGCACCAUGGAGAGAUCCGCUGUGGUGUCGGGCCGCAGGAGUCCCCCAGUACCGGAUUACAACACCUUGACCUCCACCUUGGCCUUCGACCAGCAUUUCACCACCACCGCUGAGGGAGUUCUCCUCCAGGCUGUAAUAAACUCUGCCACUCCCCUCCUGCUCUGCACCUUCCUUAUUCCUCUUAUCCCUUCACCGGCUCCGCCCACAGAUGAACCUGUCUUCCAUUCUCUCAUUAGUCUCCCCUCUAUAUCUGCAUGCCUGUUCCCCUUGUCCUCUGCCAGAUCGCUUAGUGUGUUCGUGCCUAAUCUUUCCAGCGUUACUUUCCUGAUUCCUGCCUGCCUGAUCUCCAACGUGACCUGACUGCUUUUCCCCUGGAUUCCUCUUCUGCCUGCUCCUUGUCGGUUUUGUUUGCUUCGGACUGACUACCUGGCUCCUGACCUCUGCUCUGUCUACACUGGAUUAUCUCUGGCCUGCUCCUUAUUGGAUUUGUUU